rnacentral:rRNA from 1 species
GUCGGGAAUUUUGCGCAAUGGGCGAAAGCCUGACGCAGCAACGCCGCGUGAGGGAUGAAGGCCUUCGGGUUGUAAACCUCUUUUCUCAGGGACGAUAAUGACGGUACCUGAGGAAUAAGCCACGGCUAACUACGUGCCAGCAGCCGCGGUAAUACGUAGGUGGCGAGCGUUGUCCGGAUUUACUGGGCGUAAAGAGCGCGCAGGCGGUCGUACAAGUCGCGUGUGAAAGCCCCCGGCUCAACUGGGGAGGGUCACGCGAUACUGUUCGACUUGAAGGCAGGAGAGGGAAGCGGAAUUCCCGGUGUAGUGGUGAAAUGCGUAGAUAUCGGGAGGAACACCAGUGGCGAAGGCGGCUUCCUGGCCUGUUCUUGACGCUGAGGCGCGAAAGCUAGGGGAGCAAACGGGAUUAGAAACCCCGGUAGUCC